UACGGAGGGUGCUAGCGUUGUUCGGAAUCACUGGGCGUAAAGCGCGUGUAGGCGGCCCAUUAAGUCUGAUGUGAAAGCCCGGGGCUCACCCCCGGAAGUGCAUUGGAGACUGAUUGGCUCGAGUCCCGGAGAGGAGGGUGGAAUUCCUGGUGUAGCGGUGAAAUGCGUAGAUAUCAGGAGGAACACCGGUGGCGAAGGCGGCCCUCUGGACGGUGACUGACGCUGAGACGCGAAAGCGUGGGGAGCAAACAGG
rnacentral:rRNA from 1 species